rnacentral:sRNA from 1 species
UGUCCGUGGUUCUGGUUGAGCCGGCUGC